rnacentral:rRNA from 1 species
AUUGAACGCUGGCGGCAGGCCUAACACAUGCAAGUCGAGCGGAUGAAGGUAGCUUGCUACCUGAUUCAGCGGCGGACGGGUGAGUAAUGCUUAGGAAUCUGCCUGGUAGUGGGGGACAACGUUUCGAAAGGAACGCUAAUACCGCAUACGUCCUACGGGAGAAAGUGGGGGAUCUUCGGACCUCACGCUAUCAGAUGAGCCUAGGUACGAUUAGCUAGUUGGUGAGGUAAAGGCUCACCAAGGCGACGAUCGUUAACUGGUCUGAGAGGAUGAUCAGUCACACUGGAACUGAGACACGGUCCAGACUCCUACGGGAGGCAGCAGUGGGGAAUAUUGGACAAUGGGCGAAAGCCUGAUCCAGCCAUGCCGGGUGUGUGAAGAAGGUCUUCGGAUUGUAAAGCACUUUAAGUUGGGAGGAAGGGCAGUAAGUUAAUACCUUGCUGUUUUGACGUUACCGACAGAAUAAGCACCGGCUAACUUCGUGCCAGCCGCCGCCGUAAUAC